rnacentral:rRNA from 1 species
UACGUAGGGUGCAAGCGUUGUCCGGAAUUAUUGGGCGUAAAGAGCUCGUAGGCGGUCUGUUGCGUCGGCUGUGAAAACCCGGGGCUCAACCCCGGGCCUGCAGCCGAUACGGGCAGACUAGAGUUCGGCAGGGGAGACUGGAAUUCCUGGUGUAGCGGUGAAAUGCGCAGAUAUCAGGAGGAACACCGGUGGCGAAGGCGGGUCUCUGGGCCGAUACUGACGCUGAGGAGCGAAAGCGCGGGGAGCGAACAGG